CCUUAAUGUAAAUUGAUAUAAUCUGGAGAAUCUUGUUAAAAUGUAUAUUUGACUUUGUAAGGUCUGGGAAGAGGCCAGACAUUUCACAUUCCUAACGAGUUCACAAGUGAUGCUGAUGAUGCUCAUCUGAGGAUCAUUCUUUGAGUACCAAACUAACUGGAGGACUCCUGAUAUCCUCUUUUAGACUUCUCUAGUGACAUGACCCUAAUUUAGCUUUAACCUUGAC
rnacentral:lncRNA from 10 species